rnacentral:rRNA from 1 species
AAGGGCACCACAAGAACGCGUGGAGCAUGUGGCUUAAUUUGACUCAACGCGGGAAAUCUUACCGGGUCCGGACACACUGAGGAUUGACAGGCAAUAUUAUAAUUUUUUAAUUGAAAUAAAUUUUUAUUAAUUUAUUUUUUUUAUUUUUUAUAUGUUAAAUAUGCUAGUCCCUUCAUGAUUAUGUGAUAGGUGGUGCAUGGCCGUUCUUAGUUCGUGGAGUGAUCUGUCUGCUUAAUUGCGUUUCACUAUUGGGCUUAUAUAAUUACGUAUGUUGUUAACGCUUUGACCCCUUUCUACGGAUUGUGCGUGUCUUUGUCUCGUUUAACUCAUACAAUUAAGCCCUGAAAGCAACGAACGUGACCGCAACCUCUUGUUGCUCUCAUAUUACCUUAUACUGCAUAAUAUUUGAAUAAUUUAUUUUAUUUUUUUUUAUGUUUAAGAGAGCUUUCUAAACUAGAGGGACCGCUGUUACUUUCUUAAACCAGAGGAAGGUUGCGGCAAUAACAGGUCUGUGAUGCCCUUAGAUGUUCCGGGCUGCACACGUGCUACAAUGAUUAUUGCAGUGAGCAUCUCAUUUUUACACAUCGCAUGCGCGAGUCCAUUUAUUCAGAUAUCUUUCAUUUACUUUCGGGUGAAUGUAGUGUUUGCUUUAAAUGUGUAUCUCUGCGCGCGAUAAAGCCUGCUUCGAAAGUAAGUGGGUAAUCAAUUAGAAGUAAUGAUUUCCUUUUUUUUUCUGCACACAUAUAUAUGGCACUUAUACCCGGGUAACCUUGUUGUUACUUUUGUGCGUAUACGUGAUAAUCUUUACCGAUUAUACUACCAUAUGUGCAAUUGUCAAUUCAUGGUGGGGACAGACCAUUGUUAAUUGUUGGUCUCGGUCUUAACUAGGAAUGCCUUGUACGGAUCUUUGGUUCAACAAACCAUCCGGAAUACGUCCCUGCCCUUUGUACACACCGCCCGUC